rnacentral:rRNA from 1 species
AACUCUAUGCGGUGGAUCACUCGGUUCGUGUGUCGAUUAAUAGCGCAGCCAACUGUUUGAAUUAAUGUGAAUCGCAGACUGCUUUGAACAUCAACCUCUUGAACGCACAUCUGGCCGAGGGUCG